ACGGGCAGGCAGGCUGGCAUGCGAGGGAGCACUCUCCUCUGAGGGGAGAGUGCUCCCUCAAGUGCCAGCCUGCCUGCCCGC